ensembl:lncRNA
CCCGUCAUUGUGACCCCCUCACUGGGACCUCUCAUUGUGACGCCUCAAUGUGACCUCUCAGUGGGACCCCAUCACUGUGACCCCUCCCUGGGACCCUCAUGCACAGCCUGGUAUCGGGGGACUGAGUCUCCACAGUGGAGUCAGAAGUCCCUCUCCAGGAGCGCCAAUCUACACCCCACCCAACACGGCCUUGACGUCCGAGAACCCCUUGUUCUUGCUGCAGCACUGCACCCACAGUUCCCAAACCUCACGACACCCGCAACUCGCUGGGGUGAAUUCUGGAAACAGGGCGAGUUGGGCACAGUGUCCAAUUCCACUGCUCCAAAACACCCCUAAGACAAUGGCCAGGGCUCCUUUAAGGGUUUAGUCCAUGAGGAGAAGAGACUAGGAAGAAGACAGUGGACACAGGAGGAGGAGAAACUUCUGGAAGAUGGAAGCUGAUCAACUCUCCAUCCAGACAGCUUUGCCAAUUUAAAACGGGACAAAUGGGAAGGAAGAAAGCCUUCGUGAGCAGAGAGGGAGAGCUGGAAGACGCAGAAGGCCACCAGGAGCCUGGGAACCACGGGUUAGUCACAGAGGAAAGAAGAUUUUGUACAGCAGAUCUGACCUUUUAUGACACCAAUGACGUCCCUGGUCUGUGUGGCUGAAGCAGCACGUGGUCCUGCAGGGUGGACCCGGGCCACCUCUGCACCUUCACGGGGGACCAUUCGCUGCAGGCGUUCUCUAAGAAAAGCACUGGGCUUUUAAACAGCUGUCAGGUCCACAAAGUUCAAGUCCAUGCAUUUCUUCUCCUCUCAUAUUGAUAAGAAUUUAUAGUAAGAACCCAAGAUGUCUGCUAUUUUAAAUAACUUGAGAAUUUCUUUUUUGUUACCAUAUAUGUUCCCUUAAAAAAGAAAAGAAAAACAGAACAGUGGGCAGGAACGUAACUCCUAAGCAGCCAUCCAUCAACACCUAACUCGCCACAGCGGAGAGAGUUCCCAUGUGCUUGGUUUGUGACAAAACGUGAGCAUCCCGAGACACGGCCCCAGCUGCCCAGGAAAGGAGAGCUGUGACGCUGGACUCUGCUCACGGCAGAAGCCACACGGCCCCUCCACUCAGCUGAGAGCAAAGCGGAAACUGCAGGAGGUGGAUGUAAACAUGGCUGCUGCCCGGUUUGCGUCUCCCAGGCACAACCUGCAGUACCGAAGGCAGCCCGGUAGCUGUGGCAGGGCCCCGGCAGCCCCCCAGCUGUAGACACGCCCAGUGGCCCUGAUUCUGAGGGGAGCCAUGUCCCAUUUGGGUCACUUCAGGGGGCUUUUCAUGACAGUGACUUAUGAGAAUGUCAGUACUUCCAGAACCCCUGCCAAGUCCAGCUUCCAGACAAGCACGGAACCCUCACGGCCUGCACAGCUCCAACCUUCAGCCCCCAGAGAGAAGCCAGUCAAGGAUUUCCACGUCUCCAGCUCUGUACCUGUGUCUGAUCUCACGCACGCAGGCACAAACAUAUGCAUGCACACGCAUGCACACACACACACACACACACACACACAGGGGUUAUUUCUCUAUCUGCUGGCUUUCUUGUGCCCAGAGAUUGUCCUUUUCCCAGCCUUGUGGGCCCAGGGGGGACCAGGAGGGCAUAUGCCCGGGAACAGCUCCUGUCUAGAAGACUUGGCUGUGUUCAGAAGUGUCUUCUACGUUGAGCUUUAGCAAUAAGAACAAAACAUAUUAUAAUACCUCCAAACAAAAGGAAGCUCUGUAGCUGUUUAAGUAAUGUUCUUGAAAAGAUUUGAAUGACAUAGAAAAUGUCCAUGACACGUACUAUUGAAUGUAAAGGCAGGAUUCAAAACUAUGCAUAUAUGAGGAUUCCACUUUGUUUUUAAUGAAAUUUGCACACCCACAAAACAUGCUAACUAGUGAAAAAACAAGGAGGUCACGUUUCAAAGCACUUACAACAAGGAUCUCGAGGUGACUUGGUUACCAAUGGCUCUUGCUGUCUUCCUCCAACUUCCCCGUGUUUUCCAGCUUUUCGUAAAGGAGCAUUUGUGUAAUCGGGGGAAAUGUGCAAUAAGAAAGAGCUGGAGUCCCAGGAGCUUGCCUUCUGCCAGAAAGUUCUAGAGACUGUCGCUUGAUGGCAGAGACUGGCAGAAGGUUCUAGGUGGAUGUUGGGAUUUUCAGAAGAACUGGGAACCUGGGCCGGCCAUCAGCAAGGCCAGGAGGGCGUGGUGCAGAGAAGAGCCCUGGCGGCAGGACAGCGGGACACAGCGCACUGGCACAUCUAGUCUCCCCCACAGGCCCUGGAGACCCCACCGGGCCUGGCGCCCUGCACCUUCAUCCUCUAAGGCGAGGAGCCUUUGUGCUACCCCGCUGGAGACGACCCCGUUAGCUCCUUCUCCUGGGAUGAGAGGGAAAAGGCGUGGCAGACAUCACAUCCUCCCCAUCACGGGAGGAAAGCGCCACCACGGGGCCCCUCAGAGAGGCAGUGGCAAUGACAGGUGGUCUGUGUCCCCUCCCGGAGGACAUGGCGCUGGGGGAAGUGGCCGUGGCUGACCCCCACUCAUGCAGGCGAUGGCAUGACCGCUGAUGCACACACUGGUUUCUCUUCCUUCAAAGGACAAAGGGUUUCUCCACCCUAGAACCACUCAGUCUUCCCUCCCUCUCAUUUCUUUUCUCUCCCUUCCUUCCUGCCUUUCCACUUCAGAGCUGACACGGGAGAACGGGAAAAAGGCUUUGCUGCAUCAGGACAGGAUGUAGGCCCCCUGGGAAGUCCUUCCACCAAAGACAGACAGAUGCUAUGGUUCUAGAAAAAGUUUCACACGGCAGCUCGGGCUCCCCCAACAAUCAGCAGUUUCAAUGACCAUCCGCAGCUUUCUGGGUGAGCUCUCUGGGCACACAAAGGGGGUAAGCCAAAUCUUUAGUUCUCUGCAGCAGAGGGAAGCUGAGAAAAUGACCCUUCACCCUGGACUCAGCAGGGGGUAAGGGUCAAGAAAGGUCGAGAAGAAUGGCCCUGCGGCCCACCGCCUUCCCUGUGGGGCUGGGAAUGUGAAGAGUCAGGGAGAAUGCCGUCAAGGGGAAUCUCCGUCCCCUGCCCCUCCCGGGAGGCUCUCACCAGACGAAAUCGCCAAGUCCAUUUGAAGCAAGGAUGAGUUUCAGACUCUCCAACCCAGAAAUCAGGAAGAAGAGUGGGAAAAAAAUUAAAUAAAAAAAUCAGGGACGCAGCCUGGAAUCAGGGCGCCCACUGGAGAGGGGUAAUCAAGACUCCGAGCCACAGACUGGAACGGCCUUGAUUAAAGACAAAUUGCCAAAGUAAGUUUAACUAGCGUCUGGUGCUUCUUCCUUCAUAAGUGACGUGAUUUUCCUCCUGGCAGCUCAUGACACGACGCAGAAUAAGG